rnacentral:lncRNA from 1 species
GACUAUUUAGGAUGGAAUGCAGGAAAAGGCAGCCAUUUAAUGAAUUGAAAAAUUUCCCCAGCAUUCUGUGUCCAACUGUUUGCUCAGUGAGAUAAGAAAAGUGCUAUAGCUGUGAGUAAAUAUUCCAGGCUUUCAGGAAAUACUGAAGAGUUGUUGCAGAAUGACACAAUGAGGGAUUUGGGAACAGAGCACAUUUCUGCCAGCACUGACCAGGGUCAGAGGUGAAGAUGAUGAAGUAGGAUCAAAAAUGAAGGAGAGGAUGCUCAGCAGUGAUAACUCCAGAUCUCAUGGACAACAGGAGCAAAACCCUAUCAUGCAAGAAGUGGACACCAUCACCUCUGGGCCAGGUUUUAAUGCAACACAGCAGAGGAGAGCAGAGACUCUUCUAGGUCAGAAGAUGAUCUUUUCUAAACAAUUUACCACUAGCAAAGCCCACACCUUUUUUUCUAUUAAUCAAUAUAAAUGUUUUCUCUUCAUAAAGACUGUAAACCUAAAAUUUAAGUGGUCAGAAAGGAAGCACUGAAUGUUGAAAAACAGCUUCAUUUUCUCAGUGAAGCUGGUGAAAUUUACUUCUAAAAUACCCAGCUUUUGACGAAGAUAAAUUGAUGCAAAAUC